rnacentral:lncRNA from 1 species
AGCUGGGAGCCAGGGAAGUUCUCAACUCUGCCAUUCAUGGAAAAAGUGAAAGCGGAUGCUGUUGUUUAAAUGUGGAUCAUCUGAUGGAUCUGAUCCUAUUGGGGUGAUGAUGUGUGUGAGAAACUGGUUUCCAGGCAACCAUUAGAUGGAGCUGGAUGCAGAUUACACAUGCUGCUUGACAGUACCAAUGUAUGGCAUGCUGGGAAGUCAACCUCAGGAUGCAAAUCAGAAACAGUUCUAUGUGGGGGAAAAUGUCAAGGCACGAACUAUAAAGCCUGGAGUUGAGAGAUGACAGAUGACAAGAGUAGAGACAUCCUUUGUUGUCAGUCUUGUUUAGCAGAAGAAUGGCUCCAUAU